rnacentral:rRNA from 1 species
CAUUAUAUGGUGAAACUGCGAAUGGCUCAUUAAAUCAGUUAUCGUUUAUUUGAUAGUACCCUUACUACAUGGAUACCCGUGGUAAUUCUAGAGCUAAUACAUGCUAAAAACCCCGACUUCGGAAGGGGUGUAUUUAUUAGAUAAAAAACCAAUGCCCUUCGGGGCUCCCUGGUGAUUCAUAAUAACUUGUCGAAUCGCAUGGCCUUGCGCCGGCGAUGGUUCAUUCAAAUUUCUGCCCUAUCAACUUUCGAUGGUAGGAUAGUGGCCUACCAUGGUGGCAACGGGUAACGGGGAAUUAGGGUUCGAUUCCGGAGAGGGAGCCUGAGAAACGGCUACCACAUCCAAGGAAGGCAGCAGGCGCGCAAAUUACCCAAUCCCGAUACGGGGAGGUAGUGACAAUAAAUACUGAUACAGGGCUCUUUCGGGUCUUGUAAUUGGAAUGAGAACAAUUUAAACACCUUAACGAGGAACAAUUGGAGGGCAAGUCUGGUGCCAGCAGCCGCGGUAAUUCCAGCUCCAAUAGCGUAUAUUAAAGUUGUUGCAGUUAAAAAGCUCGUAGUUGAACCUUGGGUCCGGCUGGCCGGUCCGCUUCGCGGCGUGCACUGGUCCGGCUGGAUCUUUCCUUCUGGGGAAUCCCAUGGCCUUCACUGGCUGUGGGGGGAACCAGGACUUUUACUGUGAAAAAAUUAGAGUGUUCAAAGCAGGCCUUUGCUCGGAUACAUUAGCAUGGAAUAAUGAAAUAGGACGUGUGGUUUUAUUUUGUUGGUUUCUAGGACCGCCGUAAUGAUUAAUAGGGAUAGUCGGGGGCGUCAGUAUUCGGCUGUCAGAGGUGAAAUUCUUAGAUUUGCUGAAGACUAACUACUGCGAAAGCAUUCGCCAAGGAUGUUUUCAUUAAUCAGUGAACGAAAGUUAGGGGAUCGAAGACGAUCAGAUACCGUCGUAGUCUUAACCAUAAACUAUGCCGACUAGGGAUCGGACGGGCAAUUUAUGAUAACCCGUUCGGCACCUUACGAGAAAUCAAAGUUUUUGGGUCUGGGGG